GGAGGAGGAGUCAGGGCAGGGGAGGGACGCCCAGGUGUGUGUAACCUGCACAGGUGAGUGCCCAGGUAUAGCCCAGGUGUGUGUAACCCGCACAGGUGAGUGCCCAGGUAUAGCCCAGGUGUGUGUAACCCCCACAGGUGAGUGCCCAGGUAUAGCCCAGGUGUGCCCAGGUGUGUGUAACCCCCCACCAGGUGAGUGCCCAAGUAUAACCCAGGUGUUCCCAGGUGUGUGUAACCCGCACAGGUGAGUGCCCAGGUAUAGCCCAGGUGUGUGUAACCCGCACAGGUGAGUGCCCAGGUAUAACCCAGGUGUGUGUAACCC